ACGGAGGAUCCAAGCGUUAUCCGGAAUCAUUGGGUUUAAAGGGUCCGUAGGCGGUUUAUUAAGUCAGUGGUGAAAGCCCGCAGCUCAACUGUGGAACGGCCAUUGAUACUGAUAGACUUGAAUUACUGGGAAGUAACUAGAAUAUGUAGUGUAGCGGUGAAAUGCUUAGAUAUUACAUGGAAUACCAAUUGCGAAGGCAGGUUACUACCAGUGGAUUGACGCUGAUGGACGAAAGCGUGGGGAGCGAACAGGAUUAGAUACCCUGGUAGUCCACGCCGUAAACGAUGGAUACUAGCUGUUGGGGGCAACUUCAGUGGCUAAGCGAAAGUGAUAAGUAUCCCACCUGGGGAGUACGUUCGCAAGAAUG
rnacentral:rRNA from 1 species